GCCUCCGUAGUCUGGUGGUAAGACACCCUGCUGUUAUAGCUGUCAAAGGUUUUCCCUCAUCAGGGGUGUGAGGGUUCGAAUCCCUCCGGAGGCA